rnacentral:lncRNA from 1 species
UGGUACGCCGCAAUAUGCGAUGUGAUAACUAUUGUCCGAGAUGUGGUGUUGUAGGCACGGUGGGGGGGGAGGGGGGUAACCCUCGAAUUGGUUGAAUGGUGGAACCAAGGUUUAAACCUGAAAACAAAGAGAACUGAUUUUUAUGAGUUUAGAGUUUUUAUGAUGCAAACAGAAACAAAUAUGAAAAUGAUACUGUGAAUAAAAACAAAUAGAAAACGGAUAGAUUGAUGAAGAUGGGAUCUUUGUUGCUGGAUGUGUAUCACUCUCAACAA